rnacentral:rRNA from 1 species
AGCUCCAAUAGCGUAUAUUUAAGUUGCUGCGGUUAAAAAGCUCGUAGUCGGAUUUCGGGUGGUACCUGCCGGUCCGCCUUUGGUGUGUACUGGUAGGCGCUACCUUUCUGCCGAGGACAGGCUCAUGGGCUUUAUUGUCUGGGGCCUGGAGUCGGCGACGUCACUUUGAGUAAAUUAGGGUGUUUAAAGCAGGCAUAUGCUCUGAAUACACUAGCAUGGGAUGACACGAUAGGACUCCGGUCUAUCUUGUCGGUCUGUAGGUUGGAGUAAUGAUUAAGAGGGACAGUCGGGGGCAUUCGUAUUUCGUAGUCAGAGGUGAAAUUCUUGGAUUUACGGAAGACGAACUUCUGCGAAAGCAUCUGCCAAGGAUGU